rnacentral:tRNA from 1 species
UCUCUGGUGGCUCAGUGGUAAAGAACCUGCCUGCGAUGCAGAAGACCCAGGUUCCAUCCCUGGGUUGGGAA